rnacentral:rRNA from 1 species
UACGUAGGUCGCAAGCGUUGUCCGGAUUUACUGGGCGUAAAGGGUGCGUAGGCGGUUCGUUAAGUCUGUCGUGAAAUCCCCGGGCUCAACCUGGGAAUGGCGAUGGAUACUGGCGAGCUAGAGUGUGUCAGAGGAUGGUGGAAUUCCCGGUGUAGCGGUGAAAUGCGUAGAGAUCCGGAAGAACACCGGAGGCGAAGGCGGCUGGCUGGACCUGAUCUGACGCUGAGGUGCGAAAGCGUGGGGAGCGAACAGG